rnacentral:rRNA from 1 species
ACGCACGCUGGCGGCGUGCUUAACACAUGCCCGUCGAACGGAAAGGCCCUGCUUGCAGGGUCCUCGAGUGGCGAACGGGUGAGUAACACGUGGGUGAUCUGCCCUGCACUUCGGGAUAAGCCUGGGAAACUGGGUCUAAUACCGGAUAGGAGCCAUUUUUAGUGUGAUGGUUGGAAAGUUUUUUCGGUGUAGGAUGAGCUCGCGGCCUAUCAGCUUGUUGGUGGGGUAAUGGCCUACCAAGGCGGCGACGGGUAGCCGGCCUGAGAGGGUGGACGGCCACAGUGGGACUGAGAGACGGCCCAGACUCCGACGGGUGGCAGAAGGGGGGAAUAUUGCACAAGGGGCGCAAGCCGGAUGCAGCGACGCCGCGGGGGGGAGGACGGCCUUCGGGUUGGAAACUCCUUUCGCUAGGGACGAAGCUUUUUGUGACGGUACCUAGAGAAGAAGCACCGGCUAACUACGUG